rnacentral:rRNA from 1 species
AUUGAACGCUGGCGGCAGGCCUAACACAUGCAAGUCGAACGGUAACAGGAAACAGCUUGCUGUUUCGCUGACGAGUGGCGGACGGGUGAGUAAUGUCUGGGAAACUGCCUGAUGGAGGGGGAUAACUACUGGAAACGGUAGCUACUACCGCAUAACGUCGCAAGCCCAAAGAGGGGGACCCUCGGGCCUCUUGCCAUCGGAUGUGCCCAGGUGGGCGUAGCUUGUUGGUGGGGUAACGGCUCACCAAGGCGACGAUCCGUAGCUGGUCUGAGAGGAUGGCCAGCCACACUGGAACGGAGACACGGUCCAGACUCCUACGGGAGGCAGCAGUGGGGAAUAUUGCACAAUGGGCGCAAGCCUGAUGCAGCCAUGCCGCGUGUAUGAAGAAGGCCUUCGGGUUGUAAAGUACGUUCAGCGGGGAGGAAGGGAGUAAAGUUAAUACCUUGGCUCAUUGACGUUACCCGCAGAAGAAGCACCGGCUAACUCCGUG